AUUUACACAGGAAGUUCCUACAACAAGGUGCUUGCCAGUCACCCUUCCCCAGAUCCCGAAUGCAACCCUGGCCAGGUGGCGCAGAGGACAGUCACUCUGCUGGUCAUGCUGAGCUCAUACUCUAAUGGCUGUUCCAUGAGGUCAAGACUGGGGCCCCUCCCUUCUCCCACUUUACCAAUGCCUGGUCUCAUGGGGUUAGUUUGGAGCCCAGCACGAUGGCAUCAUCAACCUCCUCCCCGGCUCCUGGCUCCAGGUCCAAGAAGCCUCUGGGCAAGAUGGCUGACUGGUUCAGGCAGGCCCUGUCGAGGAAGCCCACGAAGAUGCCCGCCUCCCCAGAAAGCGCCCUCAGUGACGUUUCACAGCCGAGCUCACUGGACAGCCCCCCAUCCCUGGGCCCCAGCUCAGAGGUGUCUCCCAUCCCUACACCGUCGCCCGGGGGCGCCAGCGGUGGCAGCGGCAGCAGCAGCAGCGGCCGCUGGAGCAAGGCCUACGAUGUGUGCGUGUGCCACAGCGAGGAGGACCUGGUGGCCGCCCAGGAGCUGGUCUCCUACCUGGAGGGCGGCGCCGCCAGCCUGCGCUGCUUCUUGCAGCUUCGCGACGCCACCCCCGGCGGCGCCAUCGUGUCCGAGCUGUGCCACGCGCUCAGCAGCAGCCACUGCCGCGUGCUGCUGAUUACCCCCGGCUUCCUCCGGGACCCGUGGUGCAGGUACCAGAUGCUGCAGGCGCUGAGCGAGGCCCCCGGGGCCGAGGGCCGCACCAUCCCCCUGAUGUCCGGCCUCAGCAGAGCCGCCUACCCCGCGGAGCUCCGAUACAUGUACUUCGUGGACGGCCGCGGUCCCGAACGUGGCUUCCGCCAAGUCAAGGACGCUGUCAUGCGGUGAAAAUAUUUGUCUGCUCAGCAUCUUUUAGCUGGCGGGGAUCUUCCUUGAAGCAAGAAGGCUCUUUCAGUUGUCACACCUGCAGACCCUUGGCUGAUCCUUGAUCCAUCACCACAGCACCCAGAAAGUUGGAGCAAAGUGGGAAAUGGAGUUAGAGGGACCAGGGCCUGGGAUUUCAGCAGACACACUGAGUUGUAAGGAGUGAGUUUGCAGGACAUUGCAUGUGACCCAGGGAUCAGACUGUCUGUGGCCUCCAUAUCCGUGGGCUCUCAGGAAGGACCCAGGGAAGUUGGGGAGUCCCCCCAGGAAGGCCUGGUGAGGCUGGGGACUCCCCCUGGAAGGCCUGGGGAGACUGGGGACUUCCCCAAGAAGGCCUGGGGAGGCUGGGGAUCCCCCAGGAAGGCCUGGAAGAGCCAGAAAGUGGAGGUGGGAGGAAGUACUGAUACCAAGAUAUGGCCCACGUGAUGCCACCUGCGUGACUGGACAUGAAGCCUGGCAGGUCGUGUCUGUGUCUUCAUCCCCUGUAAUCGGGCACUGGUGUUGAGGUGCAUUCCUCUUGAAGAGGUGGCUCACCUGAGUAAGGAGCUGGAAUCCUGGACCACUUGCCUCAGCUGCGUGGUUUUCCACGGUGUCCGGGGAAGCCCUCAGCAGGCGUCAGGAAAAAGCAACAGGUAUGGUGUCUUUCACACUCACACUCCUGCUGGGGUCUCCCUGUGAUGUCGUUCACAUCUGAAAGGUAUAAGGAAGAUGCCCUCAGCAUUGUUAUUUCCACUGCAUGCCUGUCAUUCAAGACCCACACCCAGAGACCAUUCAGAAGAGAUAGGAGAGAGCAGGGAGCAGGUGGGGCGAAGAGAAGGGAAACUCAGACCUUUUAGCUGGGAUCAAAAGCCCACUCACCGAUGCACUGUCAUGGGGGCUUCAUCAGGGGUCUGGCCAGAACUCACGCUUCCUCAUGCAGAGAGCUCCUCACCCCUGCACUCAGAGGAAUCAGCAUAUUUCCUCUGGAGGAUGGUAUGU